rnacentral:rRNA from 1 species
ACUCCUACGGGAGGCAGCAGUGGGGAAUCUUAGACAAUGGGCGCAAGCCUGAUCUAGCCAUGCCGCGUGAGUGAUGAAGGCCUUAGGGUCGUAAAGCUCUUUCGCCAGGGAUGAUAAUGACAGUACCUGGUAAAGAAACCCCGGCUAACUCCGUGCCAGCAGCCGCGGUAAUACGGAGGGGUUAGCGUUGUUCGGAAUUACUGGGGCGUAAAGCGCGCGUAGGCGGAUUAGUCAGUUAGAGGUGAAAUCCCAGGGCUCAACCCUGGAACUGCCUUUAAUACUGCUAGUCUUGAGUUCGAGAGAGGUGAGUGGAAUUCCGAGUGUAGAGGUGAAAUUCGUAGAUAUUCGGAGGAACACCAGUGGCGAAGGCGGCUCACUGGCUCGAUACUGACGCUGAGGUGCGAAAGUGUGGGGAGCAAACAGGAUUAGAUACCCUGGUAGCGACUGA